UAUCCUUAGUUUUUAGUGCUUAAAAUUAAUUAGAUUCACUCUCCAUUUAUAUUCGGUAGCCUAAACAGUCAUAAUUGCUACAUAACUUGGUACUUGCUAAAUAAAUUCCUCGUGGGACGAUACUCUACUCACUAUUUUAUUACUUAUUAGCGAUCCGUGCACUUGCAGGGUUGUAAAACCAGCAAACGAGUUUUUGGCGCUGUUGCUAAGGAAUUUAAUUUUAGUAAUAUUAAGCGAUAGGCAAUUUAGCUGAUUUAGGCAUUUGCAUUUACUAUUUAAUUUUACUUAAUUUGUUUUUAUUCUUUUAUUUUCUCUCAGGUGUUUGGUUUGGUGCAUGAUCAGAACAAAGCUGGAGCAAGGAGUCUUGGACUUGGAUCCUGAAAUAGAUAGGACUCUAAGAAUCAUCAGGAGAGAAAAGAAAUGCCAAGAACAAGAUCAAGGAAAUCUAGAAACUCCAGUCAUGACCGAUAACAACAAUUGGCCAAGACUCUUGAGGGACUAUGGAGCUCCAUCUAUAUAAGGAUUCUAGCCCAGUGUUACAAGACCCACAAUGGAAGCUAACAAUUUUGAAUUGAAAUCCGCAUGGCUCCAGAUGAUUCAAUAGACCUAGUUUGGAGGCUCACCUAUAGAAGAUCCACACUACCACCUCCAGUGCCCUAUGUGACACAUUCAAGAUGAAUGGAGUCUCUAAUCAAGCUAUAAGACUCAGAGCAUUCCCAUUCUCCCUUCGAGAUAGAGCAAGGAAAUGGUUACUUUCUCAACCAGCUGGAACAUUCACCACUUGGGAAGACCUAUUGCAGGCUUUUCUAGCAAGGUAUUUCCCACCUACAAAGACUGCAAAGUUGAGGGUUGAACUCAACACCUUUAGGCAAAAGGAAAGUGAAUCACUCUAUGACGCAUGGGAGAGAUAUAAAGACCUACAGAGGGAGUGUCCACACCAUGGCAUAUAGGAUUGGCUCCUAGUUUAGAAUUUCUAUAAUGGUCUACUGCCCUCUAUAAGGAGCAUAGUGGAUUCAGUUGCGGAAGGUGACCUGAUGGAGAAAAUAGUAGCACAAGCUCUUGAACUUCUGGAGAGGGUCACUUAUCAAAACUACGAGUUGUCAAAUGAAAGGGAAAAUACAAGAAGAAUAACAAGGAUCCUGCAAGUGGAUGCCUUAAGCAUGAUAAAUGCUCAGUUUGACCAGCUCACCAAAAGGCUUAACAGAAUGCAAGCCAAUGCUAUAGGGAUGAACAACCAACAUUGCGACAACUGUGGAGGAAGGUGUAUGACUUUAGAAUGCAUCAAGUUUAAUGAAACCUCUAUGGAAUAACUGAACUAUGUGAAUAACGGAGGAAACUUCAACCAGAGGCAGCUCAACAAUCCAUAUUCAAACACCUACAACCCUGGAUAGAGAAACGACCCUAACUUCUCAUGGUUCAACUUGUAGAAUCAACCUAUGAACAAGCAGCAAGGGUACAGACCACCAGCACUCCCAGGAUUUCAGAAUGGAGGACAAAACCUUUGCACAGCCACCGCUAGCUCUUCAACCUUAAUAGCCUGAACCAAAGUUGACUAUGGAAUCCAUGAUGGAGGGCUUCCUAGUAGCCCAACAACAACAUAAUGAAAUGAUAAUGCAGUUAGCUUCCAGAAUGGACCAAUUAGUCACCUACAAUAAGAUGCUUAAAAUCCAAAUUGCUUAGCAAGCAAGUUUUUCAAGCAAGGCUGCUGGUAAAUUACCAAGUCAACCAUAAAUGAACCCAAGGAGCAUUGUAAGGCAGUUAUCGUGAGGAGCAGUAGAAUAUUAGAAAAAUAACCAUCAAAGGAAAAAUCAACUGAACAAACCUCUGAUUAAUCUGACAGCCAAACAGAGGAGAAGGAAGAAGAAGAUAAAAAGGAGCAGGAAGAGGAAACAAAAAAGAAAAAUAAGUUACCAAAGCCAUAUCAACCUCCUCUACCUUUUCCCCAGAGAUUCUAGAAGGCUAAAUUGGAUAAGUAGUUUGGAAAGUUUUUAGAAGUUUUGCAGAAACUCUACAUUAACAUUCCCUUUACAGAAGCACUUUUUUAGAUGCCAUCCUGCAUCAAGUUCCUUAAAGAAAUCUUUUAAAGAAAAGAAAGCUGGAAGACUAUGAAACCGUUGCUCUUACAGAGGAAUAUAGUGUCAUAUUGCAAAAUAAGCUGCCACCAAAGCUCAAGGAUCCAAGCAGCUUCUCUAUACCUUGUCUUAUUGGCAACAUGAAGAUAGACAAGGCACUAUGUGAUCUAGGUGCAAGUGUGAGUCUAAUGUCCCUAUCAAUAUGUCAGAAGUUGGAUGUAAGAGAGCUCAAACCCAUAAUAAUUUCCUUGUAAUUGGCUAAUCGGUCUGUCAAAUACCGGUUGGGCAUCCUAGAAAACAUCCCCAUAUAGGUGGGAAAAUUCUUCAUCCCAGUUGAUUUUCUUGUCUUGGAAAUGGAGGAGGAUGUCCAAAUUCCUAUCACCUGGGAAUACCUUUCUUAGCAACCGCUGGAGCUAUCAUAGAUGUUAAGAAUGGGCGGUUAACUCUCAAGGUAGGAGAUGAAGAGGUGGAAUUCAACCUGUUCAAAGCAAUGAAACAUAAACUUGAACCUGAUGAAUGCUUAAAGGUUAACAUCAUUGAUAAGUUAGUUAAAGAGGAAUUUCAUAAAGCACAUCCUGAAGAUCCUCUUGAAGCAUGCAUAGUGCACAGCCACACAAUAGAUAAUGAGAACACGAAAAUUGCAGCAUGUGCACAAUCUUUAGCAGUUAAUCCACCCCUACCCUUAGCUCAAGCUUUCAAGGUAGAAGAGCUAAAGGAAGAACAUCCCAAAAGCAAGCCACAGGAAGAUACCAAACAGGUAGAACUGAAACUUCUCCCCUUCACGCUAAAGUACACAUUCUUGGACUCAAAUUCUAAAUAUCCUAUUAUCAUCAAUGCUAGCCUGUCUGAAAUAGAAGAGGAAAAAUUGUUAAAGGAACUUAGAACCCAUAGCAAGGCUAUAAGGUAUAAAAUAGAAGACUUGAAAGGGAUUAGUCCUUCAAAUUGCAUGCAUAGAAUACCUAUGGAGGAAAACAGCAAACCCACUAUUGAGCAUCAAAGGAGACUUAACCCAAACAUGAAAGAAGUAGUUAAGAAAGAAAUUUUGAAACUAUUACAUGCAGGUAUUAUAUAACCAAUUUAUGAUAGUAAAUGGAUUAGUCCAGUGCAUGUAGUGCCUAAGAAGGAUGGGACAAUUGUCAUUCAAAAUGCAAACAAUGAAUUAAUCCCUAAUAAGGUAGUCACUAGUUGGCGCAUGUGCAUAGAUUAUAGGAAAUUGAAUAGUGCCACCAGAAAAGACCAUUUUCCUCUCCCUUUCAUAGAUCAAAUGUUAGAAAGGUUAGUAAAACAUUCCUAAUUCUGCUAUUUGGAUGGGUAUUCAGGAUUUUUUCAAAUUCUUACUCACCUAUAAGAUCAAGAAAAGACCAUAUUCACAUGCCUUUAUAGAACCUUUGUAUAUAGAAGAAUGCCUUUUAGUCUUUGUAAUGCCCCUGCUACUUUUCAAAGAUGCAUGAUGGCUAUUUUUUCUGAUUAUAUUGAAAAUAUUAUGGAAAUUUUUAUGGAUGAUUUUUCUUUCUAUGGAACUACUUUUGAUGAAUGCCUAGCUAAUCUAUCCAAAGUGUUGCAAAGAUAUGAAGAAUCAAACCUGGUUCUGAAUUGGGAAAAAUGCCACUUCAUGGUAAGGGAAGGUAUAGUUCUUGGGCACCUGGUAUCGAAAAGAGGAAUUGAAGUUAACAGGGCAAAAAUUGAAAUCAUUGAAAAAAUGCCACCACCAACAUCAGUCAAGGGAGUGCAAAGCUUUUUGGGACAUGUAGGCUUCUAUAGAAGAUUUAUUAAAGACUUUUCCAAAAUAGCUAAGCCAUUGACUAAUCUGUUAAGUCAAGAUGUUCCCUUCAAUUUUGAUAAGAAUUACCUUAUUUCUUUUAACAAGAUCAAAGAAGCCUUGAUUUCAGCACCAAUAAUGCAACCACCUGAUUGGGAGCUACCAUUUGAGGUGAUGUGCGAUGCAAGUGACUAUGCAGUUGGAGCAGUACUCGGAUAAAGGAAAGAUAAAAAGCUCCAUGCCAUUUACUAUGCCAGCAAAACACUUGGCGACACACAAAUCAACUAUGCUACCACAGAAAUAGAAUUCCUAGCAAUGGUGUUUGAAAUUGAUAAAUUCAGAUCCUAUCUUCUUGGAUCAAAAGUCAUUGUAUACACAGACCAUGCUACCAUCCAGUACCUUUUGAAUAAGAAAGAAGUAAAGCCAAUGUUGGUUCGAUGGAUCUUACUCCUACAAGAAUUUGACCUUGAAAUCAAGGGCAAAAAGGGAUCCGAAAACGUAGUAGCUAACCACCUCUCAAGGCUGAAAUAGGAAGACAUAGGGGACACUAAGGAUUUACCAAUUAAUGACUUAUUUCCUGAUGAGCAAUUACUAGUAUUCUCUCAAGCUCUAUGGUAUGCUGACUUUGUUAAUUAUCUUGUAUGUAGGAUAUUGCCACCAAACAUGUCCUAUCAGCAAAGGAAAAAAUUUCUGCAUGAUGUGCGCUUCUAUACAUGGGAAGAACAUGUGCUGUACAGGAGAUGCAAUGAUGGGCUGAUAAGAAAUAGAGAGCAUUUUACAGCACUGCCACUCAUCACCAUAUAAAGGACAUUUUGGCACCACGAAAACAGCAGCCAAGAUUUUGCUGACUUGUGAUCAAUGCUAAAGAACAGGGAACAUCUCAAGAAGGAAUGAAAUGUGACUGCAUGGUAUACUUGAAAAAGAGCUAUUUAAUGUGUGGGGAAUAAACUUCAUGGGUCCAUUCCCAUCCUCCUUUGGAAACAAGUAUAUUCUAAUUGGUGUUUAUUAUGUGUCAAAAUGGAUAGAAGCAAUAGCCAUACCAAUAAAUGAUGCUAGAGUGGUUACAAAAUUCCUUAAGAAGAACAUCUUCACAAGAUUUGGCACACCACGGGUAAUAAUCAGUGAUGGAGGAAGUCACUUCUACAAUCAACAAUUUGAAACAUUAUUGAAGAAAUAUGGAAUGACUCACAAAGUGGCAACACCUUACCAUCCUCAAACCAGUGGUCAAGUAGAAGUUUCAAAUAGGGAGCUGAAACAUAUCCUUGAGAAAACAAUCAAUCGCUCAAGGAAGGACUGGUCUAUGAUGUUAGAUGACACACUGUGGGCAUACCGUACUGCAUAUAAAACUCCCAUUAGAACUACACCAUUUCGCUUGGUUUAUGGAAAAUCAUGCCACUUCCCCGUCGAACUUGAACUCAAAGCCUAUUGGGCAAUCCAAACUCUAAAUUUUGGCCUAAAGGCUACUGGUGAUAGAAGACUUCUACAGCUCAAUGAGCUGGAAGAAGUCAAGCAGGAUGCCUAUGAGAAUGCUAGGAUCUUUAAGGACAAGACUAAAAGAUCGCAUGACAGACACAUAUCAAGGAAAGAAAUCAAAGAAGGAGAUCUUGUCCUGCUGUUCAAUUUGAGAUUAAAACUCUUUCUAGGGAAGUUGAGGUUAAGAUGGUCUGCAUCCUUUAAGGUAACUCAAGUCUUCCCGCAUGGAGCGAUAGAAGUAUGGAGUGAAACCUCAGGUGCCUUCACGGUUAAUGGGCAGAGAUUGAAGUCAUACUUCCCAGGGGAUAAAAUUAAAGAUGGAUUCACCCAAUCCUACAGCACCCCUCCACCUUAACAAUGAAGUUGAAGAAUAGUCCAGCUAAUAACUAUAAACAAGCACUCUAUGAGAGGCAACCCAAAUACUUUUAUAACCCUUCUUCUAAUUUUCCUUAUGUUCUUUAAUUUUCGAAGGUACACCAAAACACAAUUCUGCAAUAGCAAGGAACUGAAGGCAAGGGAGGAGUGAAAACAUCAAGUCAAAACCACAUAACAGGAGAUUGCAUAAAAUUAAAGAAGUAACUCUGUUGCUAAUAUUUGUAUUCAUCCCAUUCAUAUAGAUAGGAAUACUUUAGCAUGAAUCAAAUAUAUAAAAGAGAGAACUGGAGAGCCAAAAAUUUACAUGGGCCAUGGAUAGUUUUACACGCCUCGUGUAACAUCUUGGAACCUCGAAACCACACUUGCAUAAGCUCUAGAAACUUACAUGGGUUGACCCCGUGUAAUGUUACAUGCCCUGUGCUUCAUAAAUGGAUAGAAAAAUUUUAAGUUUAAGGGAGACAGAGAGUUACAAGGGUCCCUAAAUAAAUUUACAUGGGCCGUGUAACCUAUCGAAGAAGGGAACUUCCAGACAGAAAGUUACACGGGUCCUCAGACCGUGACCCGUGUAGUAUUAUAACACCCCUAUAUGCAUAAGUCUUGUACAUUUCACUGUUCCGGUGAUUGGUGUCGGUCCAAAUGAUCAAGAGGUUUAGAACCAUAAUUAAACCAUCUAAAAAAGCUAGAAACAAAAAUUAAUAGCCACUACAUGAAGGUUAAAUGAAAAAGAAGAAAACUAGGCAUAAAGGGUUAAAUGUGCCAAGGCCACAGCGAUGGGGGACCUAAACGAGAAGUGACAGCGAGGUCAGUCGCUGUCCUAUUUUCAAGUGGGACAUUAUGACACUACAGGCCUAAGAAUUAUUGCGAAGCUAGGGGAAAUGUGAAAACCACGGAAAAGAGUUAAGAACAAGGUCAAAUAAUUGAAUCAGACUUCCGGAAGCAAUACAGUGUCAUUGGAAAAUCGGAUCAGACCGGUAAGGGGCAAUUUGAUCAAUUCACCCUUAGAGGUGACUUUUGGCCUAAAUGUCCAAUAAAAUGUAGGAAAUUAAAAUAUUGAAAAUUAAAUUCAAAGUGAAGAAGUAAUGGAAAGAAAAGAAAAGAAAAAUUUGAAUUAAAUGGGUUAUGACAUCACUAUGGUGAUGUAAGCAUAAUGCAAUAAAGGAAUUAUUAAUUAAUUAAAUUAUUUUGAGAUAUUUAAAAAGGGAUAAAACAAAAUUAAAAAGAAGAAAAUUAAUCAUCUUCUUCCUACCCCUAUAUGCCGUCCAUCUCUCCUCUCUCUCUCUUCACUCAAACUCCUCCAUUAAAGCUCAAAUUCAAGCUUUGGUAACCCCAAAUUUCCCCACAAAUUACUUCUAAAACUUGUAGAAACCUUUAAAUUGAACCUCAGCAAAAAGUUGGGAGAAAGAAAAUUGAAGGAAAGUGAAGGAAAAUCAAGUUUUGCAAUUUAAGAAAAUUAGACAAGUGAGGUUAAUGCUUGUUUCCCUUUCUUUUCUUCUUUUAGCUUUGAAAUUAAGUUGAGAUGAGUGUAAAUUGUAUGAAAAUUUAAAGAAAAUGAUAAGUUAUGAAGGGACAAAAAUUUGGCAGCCAUGAGUGUUGGGGGAAAGUGAUAUGUUUUUCUUCAAUAAAUCAUACAUGCAAGUCAAUCUAAGUGGGUAGGUGUUAGUGCUACACUUUAAUUUCAUGAAAUUGUCCAAAUUAGAAAAUUAGGGUUUUUGAACCACUGAAAUUAGGGGAAAAUUUGGGAGAAAUUGGUAACUAAUGCAAUUGGACCUAAUUGAGGCUUGAAAUGGUCAAUUGGAGUCAUUUGGAGUAUAAUUGAAUGCACAAAUUGGAUUGGAAAUGGAAUGUGAUGCUGCCCCAAAUUGGGCAGUUUGACCUUGGUCAACUCAAGAGGGCAUAACUGAAAAUUGGUUGCUCCAAUUGGUGUGAGGCCAAUUGGAGAUGAAACUUAACACAUAAUGCAACAAUUUUUAUGUAGAAACCCUGCCCUGAAAAUGGCCAUAAGCUUGUGUAAAACUAGGUCAAAUCCGGAUUUAGGCAUACUGCCCUGUUAAAAAAUGACCAUAUGAACAGUACUUGUUCAAAUGGUCAUAACUUGGUCUAGGAAGGUCCAAAUGACCUGAAAUUUAUACCAUUGGAAAUCUAAGAUAUAGUACUACAACUUUCAUGAAGAGCACAAACCUAAAUUCUGACUAUAACCAAGUCAAAUUGCUACCCAAAUUUGGGUUAACAAAUCUGCCAGAACCUAAAAGUUGCUUAGAAAUCUGGGUUAGGACUAAUCUAGCCAGCCAACUUCAAAUCAAUAUAACUUGAGCUACAAAACUCCAAAUGGAGUGAUUCAAAAAGGGAAUUAAAGCAAAGACACUAAGAAACAACUUUGUUGAAGGAAAGUUGAUCAAAUUCUCACUGUAGACAGACUAAUGGAAUAGUACAAACUAGUGACCCAAAAUUGAAAUUUUAAGAUUUAACCCAAAUAGACCUUGAAUGGCAAUUGACAAUCAAUGUGAACAAAAAUGUGACCCAAAAUGUGGUACGUGAGUGUAAUUAGAAUUAACAUACCUAUUAAGGAUGAAAAAGUCAAUAUUUUUACUUCAAUAGUAACCCCAAUAUGCCAAAAAUAAAGAACUCCAUUUAAAGCAAAUUUAAAAGCAUAAUCAAGUGUGUAUGAAAUUAAUUGUUGGAUUACUUAUGAUAUAUGAUAUUAAAAUACUGUAAAUUGUGUGUUUCAGUUGAGAAAGGUUUUGGAAGGGAUAGAGAACCAGUGAGUCAAGUCAAAGAGGUGACUCACUAGAGAUAGGGGUAAGGAUAAAGCAGCAGAGUGAGCUGCUAAGGCGAUAGAGGAGCAUACUUGGAGAUUUUGUACGGGUAUAUUGUUUAUACCCUUGUAGUUACAUUUUGAUGUAAUUAUUUAUGUUCAUAUGUAUCUUGUGAAUUAGUCGAGCAGUUGUACAGUCAAAUUGUACUAUUAUUACUUUUGUUUUCCUUUCUGUAAAUUAUGACUCUUGUAUAUAAUUUUGAAUGAAAUGAAAUAAAAUUGAUGUUUUUGUUUUA